rnacentral:rRNA from 1 species
GAUGAACGCUGGCGGCGUGCUUAACACAUGCAAGUCGAACGAAGCACUUUUUACAGAUUUCUUCGGAAUGAAGUUUUAGUGACUGAGUGGCGGACGGGUGAGUAACGCGUGGGUAACCUGCCUCACACUGGGGGACAACAGUUAGAAAUGACUGCUAAUACCGCAUAAGCGCACAGGACCGCAUGGUCCAGUGUGAAAAACUCCGGUGGUGUGAGAUGGACCCGCGUUUGAUUAGCUAGUUGGUGGGGUAACGGCCUACCAAGGCGACGAUCAGUAGCCGGACUGAGAGGUUGAACGGGCCACAUUGGGACUGAGAUACGGCCCAGACUCCUACGGGAGGCAGCAGUGGGGAAUAUUGGGCAAUGGGCGCAAGCCUGACCCAGCAACGCCGCGUGAAGGAAGAAGGCUUUCGGGUUGUAAACUUCUUUUGUCAGGGACGAGCAGAAGACGGUACCUGACGAAUAAGCCACGGCUAACUACGUG